UACAGAGGUCUCAAGCGUUGUUCGGAUUCAUUGGGCGUAAAGGGUGCGUAGGUGGCAGGGUAAGUCGGAUGUGAAAGCCCUCGGCUCAACUGGAGGAAGUGCACCCGAAACUGGCGAGCUUGAGUACGAAAGAGGAUCGCGGAAUUCCCGGUGUAGAGGUGAAAUUCGUAGAUAUCGGGAGGAACACCGGGUGCGAAGGCGGCGAUCUGGGUCGAUACUGACGCUGAGGCGCGAAGGCUAGGGAGCAAACAGG
rnacentral:rRNA from 1 species